AAUCUAAUACAUAGCACAAAUGAAGCUUUCCACAGAAAAGAAAAUCAUGGACUUGAAGAAUAGACUUGUGGCCACCUGGGGGGAGACGGAGGGAGUGAGAGGGAUCGGGAGCUUUGGGCUACCAGAUACAACUUGGAAUGGAUUUACAAUGAGAUCCUGCUGGGUAGCAUUGAGAACUAUGUCUAGAUACUUAUAUUGCAACAGAACAAAGGGUGGAAAAAAAUGUAUACAUGUAUCUUUACCCCCAUGCUGUACAGCAGAAAAAUAAAUAAAUUUUUAAAAAGUGCUGUUUAAUGAAUUUUCACAUAAUUGGACACCAAUAAUUCAACCAACAUCCAUAUAAAUAGAACAUUACCAGUGUACCCAGAUGCCUUGCUCAUGUAUCCUCCCAGUCACCUACAUGGCACCAUAUUCCCUAUGCACCAACAAGGAUAACCAUUUAUCUGCCUUUAAAUACCACAGACUAUUUUUGCCUGUUUUAAAAUUUUAUAUACAUAGAAUCAUGCUGUAUAUAUACUUCUGGGUCUGUGUUUCUUUUGCUCACUAUUAUGUUUAUGUGAUUUUCUGCACAUGUGUUACAUACUUUUGCAUAUAGUUAUAAUUUGUUCAUUCUCAUUGUUGUAUAUUAUUUUUUGUGUGUGACUGAAACUGUCAGGGCCUUGUGGGGCUCCUGGGCACAAAAGUAUUUCUGUGUCCCUGAUUUCUUGCCUGUAGGGAAUAGGCUUCAGCCUCUAUGACCUUCCCUGAGUUCCAAAGGACAGAUUCAGACAGUUGCUAAUCUGGGAAGGAAAGGAAGGAAAGAGACAGGGCAAGAGCAAUCAAGAGACAAUAGUGCAGCCUUUGGGCAGGGUCCUGGUUUCUCCUCAAGGGAUACACAUAGCAACAUCUUUGAGCUCUUCUGCAGAAAUAAAACCCCAACAAAUGGAAGUUGUUAACUACUUGAUAAAGUUCUUCAUUCCAAGACCACCAGAACCCAGUCCUGGGGCCACUAAACACCAGCUCUGUAGAAGAAUGAAAGUUUGCAUCUACACUGAUGCUUCUAUGUGCCCCUAUUUUCUACUCUAAACUAUAAAACCACUUGCUAUUCUCUCUCAAAGGAGGACACAGUCUUUAGAGCAUUAGCCUGCUGUGGCCUCUGUUGCCUGGCAAAGCAAUAAAAGCUAUUCAUCUCUCCUUCUCCCGAAACUCUAUCUCUGCGUUUCUAUUUGUACCAGUGGACAGAGGUCGAGUUUCUACUACCACAUGAUGUAGUCUAUACUGCUGAUAGUCCUUUUUUUUUUCAUUUGGGGCUAUUACAAGUAGUGCUGCUAUGAAUAUUCUAACACUUUUUUUGGUGAAUAAAUAUAUUUAUUUCUUUUAAGCAUCUAGGAGUGGAAUUGGUGGCUGAUGGGACAGGCAUAUAUUCAGCUCGAGUAGGAGGCACUCUCAGGCAGGUUUCUAAUUUGGUAGGUCCCCUACCUCCUCAAGCAGAAUUUCAGGUAGAAGGCUGUUUUGGUGAAGGCUUAGACACUAGGAUGGAAUAAUCUGUAUAGAGGGGACAGAUGAGAUACUGGAUAUAGAGAGUUAUUUCCCUCCAUGAUUUGUAUUUAGAUGCAUGAAUUUAAAAAACAGAAUGGAAUUCAAGUAGCUAAAACACAGGGCAAAGAGGAAGUACUCUAUCUGUUGAGUGGUCUACCAAAGAACAAGUGACAAAGUAUGUACUGUGACAACUUGCAUGGAACGGUGACAACAAUGAACCCAUAUUUACUCUUAAUCUUGUUAGAAUGCAAGACCAGACAACAUAAUGCUCAAAUGCUUGAGCUUUCUAAUUACAUUGUUUAGGUCUGAAUUCCAGAUUGUCACUCAUGUGCUGUGUGAUUUUUUGAGCAAGUCAUUUAACUUUUCUGAAUUACAGUUUCAUCAUCUGCAAAGUAUAUAUAAUGGAUACCUACAUUUCAAGGUCAUUGGAAGGAUUAAAUAACAUGACAAAUGUAAAACUCUUAGUAAGUCUCUGGCAUAUAGCCUUAAUAAUAAUAAUAAAUACCAUUUAUUGAGAGCUUACCAUGUACUAUAGAUCUUUUGCCUAUAUCUUUUUAAACAUAAAAACAAUCUAGUGAGGUAUAUUCCAUUAUUCUUCUUAUUUUACAGAUGCAUAAACAGACUCAGAAAGGAUAAAUGAAGAACUUAAUGUCAAACCUUAUAAUACACUUAUACACUAGUUGCUCUGAGUAAAUUUCUUUAAGUAAAUAAAAGGCAUGUUAAGAGAAGUGUCUCCCAAACUGGAACUCUCACGUAUUGCUGGUCGAAUGUAAAGUGGUACAACCACUUUUUUUUUUUUGUCUUUUUGCCAUUUCUUGGGCCACUCCCAUGGCACAUGGCGGUUCCCAGGCUAGGGGUCGAAUCGGAGCUGUAGCCACUGGUCUACGCCACAGCCACAGCAAUGCAGGAUCCGAGCUGCAUCUGCGACGUACACCACAGCUCAUGGCAAUGCUGGAUCCGUAACCCACUGAGCAAGGCUAGGGAUCGAACCUGCAACCUCAUGGUUCCUAGUUGGAUUCGUUAACCACUGAGCCACGACAGGAACUACAGCCACUUUGGAAAAUUAUAUUUUUCAGUUUCUAAUAAAGUUAAACAUACACCUACAAUGUGACCUAGCCAUUCCACUCCUAGUAUUUACUCAAGAUAAGUGAACACAUAUUCACAAAGUGACUCGCAUGCAAAAUAUUAAUAGUAGUUUCAUUUGAAAUAAUAAAAACUUGGGGAUAAUGCAAAUGUCCAUCAACAGAUAAAAAGAUAAACAAAUUAUAGUAUACCUACAUAAUGGAAUACUACACAACAGUGGAAAGAAAUGAACUACUGAUACAUGCAAUAAUAUGAUGAACCUCAAAUACAUUAUGGUGAGUGAGAGAAGCUAGACAAAAAAAGUUAUAGGAGUUCCAGUCAUGGUAUAAUGGAAACAAAUCUGACUAGGAACUAUGAGGUUGAAGGUUCAAUCCCUGGCUUUGCUCAGUGGGUUAAGGAUCUGGCAUUGCCCUGAUCUGCGGUAAAGUUUGCAAAUGUGGCUUGGUUUUUUCAUUGCUGUCACUGUGGCAUAGGACAGCAGCUGUAGCUCCAGUUUGACCCCUAGCCUGGA
rnacentral:lncRNA from 1 species